UUGAGCCGUAUGCAGGGAAACUUGCACGUACGGUUCUUAGGGGAGGCCGCAGCGGCGACGCUGUGGCCUUACCCGAU
rfam:Burkholderia xenovorans LB400 chromosome 1, complete sequence.